UGUAAUCAAAGAAAGUAAAAUCACAUGUGCUGAAAUCUUUGGCAAAGCAUGGCUGAAGAAAAAAAGUAAAGAAGAUGUAAAUAAGGGGAAAGACACCUCAUGUUCCCAGGGUGGAAGACGUAAUGUCAGUAAGGUGCCAGUGCUGUCCAGAGGGAUCUUCGGAUUCAACACAACCCCUACCAAAAUCCCCGAUGGCUCCUUUGCAGGAGUUGACAAGGUGAUCCUAAUGUUUAUAUGGAAAUGUAGCAGAUGCAGGAGAGCCAGAAUAGUUUCAAAGGAAAAGAACAAUGUUAGGAGACUCACACUUACCAACUUCAAAACCUGCUACAAAGCUGUAGCAAUCAAGACCUUGUGGUACCAGCAUACACACAAACAUGACUCUAUGGAAAUGAAGUGAGAGUCUACCUAAUGCACCUUUACAUUUAUGGUCCAAUUGUCUAUCAUCUGGGCUGUUGGAAAAAAGUGCCAUGGGGUUAUAAAAUCAAAAAGGCUUGAACAAGGGCCACCAGGAGGACUGAAUAUCCACUUGCAAAGCCAUGAAUUUUGACCCACACACCCAAGUCACACUGUAAGCAAAUAGUGACUGAAAGUGAUGAAGGACUUAAAGAGCCACAGCUAUACAACCCAAAGAAGAAAACAUGGGUAUAAAUCAUCAUGACUUUGAAUUAGGCAUCUAUUUCUUAGGUACACGGCAGAAACUCAAGGAACCAAAGAAGAAUAGGUAAAUUGGACUUCCUAGAGUUCAUAGAAUUUAAAAGCUUUUGUACACCAUUGGAUUCUAUCAAGAAAGUGCAAAGACAGCUGACAGAAUGAGAGAGUGUUUUGCAGAUCACACAUCUGGCAAGAACACAUGAACGUUUCUUAAAACUCCACCAUAAAGAGACAAAUGUCCCAGGGAAAAUGGGGAGAGGGCUUGACUAGGCAUUUCUCCAAAGAAGAUGCACACAUGGCCACAGAGCCCUUGAAGAAUUUCUCAUCAUCAUUAGUCAGUAGGGAAAUGCCAAGCAAAGCCGUAAUGAGUUGGCUCUUCACAUCCACUAGGAUGGCUUUAAUUAAUAAAAUGAAAGUGAACAAGUGUGGCUGAAGAUGUGGGGAAAUUGGAAAUCUCCCAUUAUACUGGUGGGAAUAUAAAAUGGAACAGUCUCUGGGGGAAACAUUUUGGCAGUUCCUCAGAUAGUUAAACACAGAGUUACUGUAUAGCCUGGUAAUCCCACUCCUGAGUAUAUAUACCAUGAGCAAUAAAAACGUGAACUCAAAAAAAUUUUACUCGAAUGUUUGUAGCAGAAUUGUUUGUAUUGGCCAGAAAGUAGAAACAGCUCAGAUGCCUUCUUGCUGAUGAACGCAUAGGUAAAUGUGGUACAUACAUCUAGCGGAAUAUCAUUCAAUCAUUAAGAUGAAUCCUGACAACAUCAUGCUAUGUGAAGAAAACAGUCACAAAAGGCCACGUAUUGUAUGGUUCCGCUUAUAUGAAAUGUCCAGGAUAGGCAAAGCCAAAGAGACAAAAAGCAGAAUAGUGGUCGCCAGGGAAAAUGGGGAGUGAUAUAAAGUUCUUGGAAUCAGGUAGGUGGCAUGGCUGCACAAUCUUAUGACUGUGCUACAUGACCACUGAAUUGUGUACCUUAAAAAAGUAAGUGCUGCGAUGUAUAUCUGACAUCUCAAUUCAGACACAACUGGCCAGUCUUCCUCUUUGAAUUUCAAUUUGUUAUUUUGUUGAGCAUCUUUUCUUUCUCAGUAUGACUGAGCUCCUUUAUGCUUUUGAACACCCCUAUUUUUCUGCUUUGAAUUUGGGUGAGCAUGAAUGUUCAUGACAGACAUUUUCGUUUUCACAACAUCUUUCUUCCUCAUUACAGUGGUCCUCAUUCUGGCACAUGCAUCCCAGAAAAAGAGCAGCGUAGGGUAAGAGGUGGCAUUUUGUGGCCAGUGUGUCUGUCCUGUGGUAGUAAUGGAGACCACCUGUUCUUGUCCCACUGCAGGUGCCUGGAGGACAACCAGUGGAACUACAUCAGAGCUGGUCAGGUCUUCACUAUGCUCCAGAACCAGGGGAAGAUACCAGGGGAGGCCUUCAAACAGUUGUCCUGAAAGGAGCCCUUGGAUGCCAUCUUCCUCUUCAUGUACAUUGUAGUUUUCUGAAACCAACUUAAGUCCACGCUCAUCGCUGGGAUUGCAGGUCUGGCUGACUAACAAGUCAGAGUUAACUUGUAGGCCAGGUAACAUAACCUCCCAAAUGGCUAGUUGUUAUGUGUGUUUUCCCCACCAAAGAUGGCUGUUUAUCUUUACAAUAAAGCGUGAUAUUGCAUGUUG